UUCCUUACUGUUCCCUUAUUCUGAAGCUCUUUUCUCUUUCAGUUACAUUAAAUUUUAACUUUUUCAAAUCCCAACCAUUUCAGCUUACAGAAAACCCAUAUUUCUCUAUUGUUCUUCUCGAGCCUAAGCCAAAAUUGCGUUUUUCUUUCAGAUGACCAGCAGACGAGACAUCGGGGGAAAUGCGAUCAUGACCGCAAAGCGUUGCGCUUCAUUAAAAUCGGAUUAAAGAGCGGCCCGAAGAAGUCCUGCCAAAGGACACCCGGAGGAAAACAGCGCUGACCAGUGUCCGAGUGUUUCCCACGCUGCAGCCAGAACUGACUGUAAAUCUUCGAACGGAACGUCUUUUGGGCCUUUCGGUAUGCAAAAGUACGCAAAUCGCUCGAGAUGGAAAUGGUACACAUCUUCUGUGUCCAGGUAAUCCAGGGGUGGAGUGGACAAGCGGAACCCUUUUUGGCGCUGGCCAUAAAAUUGUGUAAAAUUUCAUGAAAAUCAAGCAGAAAAUUUCAUACGGACUGGACAAUGUCCAUAGACAGAGAAGGAGAUCUUCCAAGGGGGUUGCUGCGAUCCGAACUUGUCACUGGAGAGAGAACCCAUAGAAGAAGGACAUACGAAAACACAAAGGUUACGGCGAGGGGGUCAAUGUCUGCUGGACACUCGAACUCGAGUUCAAACUGCUACCUGGACACGCAGCAAACGCACAGCAUCCGAAAGGAUCUCAGAAUCAUCCAGAUGCAGAGAUCUCUCGUAUUGUUAACGCUGCCGCCUCUGACCUUUGGCUGUCUCACGCAAUUAGGCAAAGUUUUUGAGGUCAAAAAUAUAUAUUCCAUUUGAA